rnacentral:rRNA from 1 species
AUGGCCAGCCUUGAUCUCAAUGAGCUCCCCGAUGACUUUGUUGAUUGUGAUGGUGAUCCCCUGUUCUGCACACAAGCCCAACCUGGAAAAAUCCCUAUUUCAAUCGAGGGGGUGGGCGAGUCAGUAGAUUUGUGUUCUGCUCCUGUCCAAGAUGUCGUAGGUGUUGGGUUCCGUGUUGUGGCUACUAUUGUGUCUGAUGCGACGGCAACUGCUGAAACUAUCGCGGCCGCCCCUGCCAUGCUCAGCCCGGCUGCAACUAUGCCUAGCAAUGGUGGCCAAGGUCGUACGGGUAGUGUUUCCUUGUUAGGUUUUGAUGAGAACGAGGUGCGAUCUAGCCAACAAGAACCUUAUGUUGGCAUGGAGUUUGACACAGUUGAAGGUGCUAAGGCACACUACAAAGUCUCGCAGAAUUGGGUUCUCGAUGAAAGCCAACACUUCCAGGAGGUCUUCAUACACUAA